AAUCUUUGAACGCACAUUGCGCCUAUUAGUAUUCUAGUAGGCAUGCCUGUUCGAGCGUCAUUUCAACCCUUAAGCCUAGCUUAGUGUUGGGAGUCUACGGUAAAACGUAGUUCCUCAAAGACGUUGGCAGAGCUCGGUCGAUCUCUCAGCGUAGUAAUUUUCUCUCGUUGUGGAAGACGGUCGGGCGAUCGCCAGGAAACCUUUAUUCUUUUAAUGGUUGACCUCGGAUCAGGUAGGAAUACCCGCUGAACUUAAGCAUAUCAAUAAGCGGAGGAAAAGAAACCAACAGGGAUUGCCUCAGUAACGGCGAGUGAAGCGGCAACAGCUCAAAUUUGAAAUCUGGCCUAGCCCGAAUUGUAAUUUGCAGAGGAUGCUUUUGGUGAGGUGCCUUCCGAGUUCCCUGGAACGGGACGCCAUAGAGGGUGAGAGCCCCGUACGGUUGGAUGCCGAGCCUCUGUAAAGCUCCUUCGACGAGUCGAGUAGUUUGGGAAUGCUGCUCUAAAUGGGAGG
rnacentral:rRNA from 1 species